rnacentral:rRNA from 1 species
GACGAACGCUGGCGGCGUGCUUAACACAUGCAAGUCGAACGGAAAGGCCCUGCUUUUGUGGGGUGCUCGAGUGGCGAACGGGUGAGUAACACGUGAGUAACCUGCCCUUGACUUUGGGAUAACUUCAGGAAACUGGGGCUAAUACCGGAUAUGAGCUCCUGCUGCAUGUUGGGGGUUGGAAAGUUUCGGCGUUUGGGGAUGGACUCGCGGCUUAUCAGCUUGUUGGUGGGGUAGUUGCUUACCAAGGCUUUGACGGGUAGCCGGCCUGAGAGGGUGACCGGCCACAUUGGGACUGAGAGACGGACCAGAAUCGUACGGGAGGCAGCAGGGGGGAAUAUUGCACAAUGGGCGGAAGCCUGAGGCAGAAACGCCGCGUGCGGGAUGACGGCCUUCGGGUUGUAAACAGAUGUCGCCUGUGACGAAGAGUGAGUGACGGUAAUGGGUAAAGAAGCACCGGCUAACUACGUG